rnacentral:rRNA from 1 species
AUUGAACGCUGGCGGCAGGCCUAACACAUGCAAGUCGAGCGGUAACAGGAGAAAGCUUGCUUUCUUGCUGACGAGCGGCGGACGGGUGAGUAAUGUAUGGGGAUCUGCCCGAUAGAGGGGGAUAACUACUGGAAACGGUGGCUAAUACCGCAUAAUGUCUACGGACCAAAGCAGGGGCUCUUCGGACCUUGCACUAUCGGAUGAACCCAUAUGGGAUUAGCUAGUAGGUGGGGUAAAGGCUCACCUAGGCGACGAUCUCUAGCUGGUCUGAGAGGAUGAUCAGCCACACUGGGACUGAGACACGGCCCAGACUCCUACGGGAGGCAGCAGUGGGGAAUAUUGCACAAUGGGCGCAAGCCUGAUGCAGCCAUGCCGCGUGUAUGAAGAAGGCCUUAGGGUUGUAAAGUACUUUCAGCGGGGAGGAAGGUGAUAAGGUUAAUACCCUUAUCAAUUGACGUUACCCGCAGAAGAAGCACCGGCUA